UACAGAGGGGGCAAGCGUUUGUUCGGAAUUACUGGGCGUAAAGGGCGCGUAGGCGGCCCGCUAAGUCGAACGUGAAAUCCCCUGGGCUCAACCCAGGAACUGCGUCCGAUACUGGCAGGCUUGAAUCCGGGAGAGGGAUGCGGAAUUCCAGGUGUAGCGGUGAAAUGCGUAGAUAUCUGGAGGAACACCGGUGGCGAAGGCAGGUCUCUGGGCCACUACUGACGCUGAGAAGCGAAAGCAUGGGGGAGCGAACAGG
rnacentral:rRNA from 1 species